rnacentral:rRNA from 1 species
GAUGAACGCUGGCGGCGUGCUUAACACAUGCAAGUCGAACGGAAAGGCUCCUGCUUGCAGGGGUACUCGAGUGGCGAACGGGUGAGUAACACGUGGGUGAUCUGCCCUGCACUUCGGGAUAAGCCUGGGAAACUGGGUCUAAUACCGGAUAGGACGAUGGUUUGGAUGCCAUUGUGGAAAGUUUUUUCGGUGUGGGAUGAGCUCGCGGCCUAUCAGCUUGUUGGUGGGGUAAUGGCCUACCAAGGCGUCGACGGGCAGCCGGCCUGAGAGGGUGUACGGCCACAUUGGGACUGAGAUACGGCCCAGACUCCUACGGGAGGCAGCAGUGGGGAAUAUUGCACAAUGGGCGCAAGCCUGAUGCAGCGACGCCGCGUGGGGGAUGACGGCCUUCGGGUUGUAAACUCCUUUCGCUAGGGACGAAGCGCAAGUGACGGUACCUGGAGAAGAAGCACCGGCUAACUACGUG